GUUGGCUGUGUUGCUGGUAGUACAGGCGCUCUAGGUGUCCGGGGUCUGUAGUGCGUGCUGUGUGAGGGGCCCGGCCCGAUGGCCACACCCGUCGACGCUGGCGGCAUCCAUACGGCACAAUGGAAUUGGAGAUCAGUACUUGUCAUUGGAAAGAGUGAGAAAAAAGAAACAUAAGUAACAAAGAACCAUUUCAAGGUACAUACAAAUAAACAUGAAAAG